UGCAGGGGGGGCAAGCGUUGUUCGGAAUUACUGGGCGUAAAGGGUUUGUAGGUGGCCUGUUAAGUCAGACGUGAAAUCCCUCAGCUUAACUGGGGAACUGCGUCUGAUACUGAUGAGCUUGAGUGCAGGAGAGGAACGCGGAAUUCCAGGUGUAGCGGUGAAAUGCGUAGAUAUCUGGAGGAACACCGGUGGCGAAGGCGGCGUUCUGGACUGCAACUGACACUGAGAAACGAAAGCCAGGGGAGCAAACGGG
rnacentral:rRNA from 1 species